AGAUAGUGUGUGAGUGGAUGAAGCAGCAAAAACACACGCUGCUAAUUAAUUGAUUUAUGUCUAGCUCAAAGUAGUCCAUAUCAAAAAGACUGUUUGGGGCUGCAGGAAUUCAGUGGAUAAUUGCAGGCAACGCAAGGGAAGGUGGACCAGAAAGGUGAGGAGGAUGCUCCCUUCGAGGGUGGAGAGAGUAAGACUGGCAUUGCACAUGGGUGGGGGGGCCCGUCGAGGCCCCUCUUUGCUUCUGAGAGUCUGUUUUCAUCGACAGUCUUCUACUAAAUGUACAUAGCAGCUUUUCAGGGCAAGGGUCACCGGGAUUCAUCUUUAUGCCUCCCCAGCCCGGGAGCCACCACCUCCACCAGACCCAUCCACACAGUUGAAUCUCAUCUCAAGUUCUCUGGUGCCCGACCCCCCACGCACACCGUGCUGGUCUGGGCAUCUCACCUGCAUCCGCACAAGUGCCUCAGGAGGGUGGAGUGUCUGGUGCUCGGCAUUGGAGGCUCAGCCCACACUGUGCCGGGCAGUCGCAGGCCUCCCAGAUGAAUGAAGCAUGAGUGAAUCCCGAUCCUGUUAUCACAGCUUCUCCCUACGCAUCCCAGGCAGAAUGUUGUGCAAAAAC
rnacentral:lncRNA from 1 species